CGAGAGCCUUUGGGGAUCUUUCCCUCUGCAGGCACGCAGUUGUCGGCCACCGUGGCGCUUACCGCGUCCUGCGCCUGGCUCCUGCCGGCGGUUUUGUCCCAGGCGGCAGGGCCGGAGAGCCGCCCAGAAUUUGUGGUGACUCAUAGUUUUCAACACCUGCAAGGAGCUACCAGUGGAGACUGAUGAAGAGAUGGACACAUCCCUGCCAUUGUAGAACUUAUGGUCCAGCAGGGUGUAGAGACAAACAUUCAGGACAAUUAACUGUGAUAUUUGUCCUACUUGGGGGCUUGAAACAAGAUCAGUCAUAGAAGCAAUGACAAGAGGACACAGUUAUUUUUUGCUGGAGUAUAAAGCCUUCCAGUGAGCACUCCUGGUUUUACUACCCUCCCUGCCCAUGGUAAUAGCUACAGCUUUUUAAAGGGCCUGCUAAGGCCAGCUACUUUUUUUUGUAUUCAAUCCUCAAACCACCCUCCAAGAAGUCAUCCCACCCCACCCCAUCUAAGAGCCUGACCGGCUCUGUUCUCCCGCCAGACUCUCCCAGAUCCCCAGUGGGAAGACCUUUCUUUCAACCCUAUGCUCCACAGCUUUUGCAUUUGCCUCUAUGCCACACUGCCUUGUGUUCUACGUGCUGGUAUGAGCCACCAAUUGCAAAUAUGGGGAGAGCAGAGACUCUGUUCUAGUCAUCUGUUACCCACCACUGUAUCUAGCACAGUGCCUGGCCUGGGGCCAGAUAGAAUUGGUGGUGCGGUCACAUUUCCAGGUGAUGCUGCUUGUGCCCCAGGCCUCUUCCUGGCUUAGGAAGGAGAGUGAGGGCAGGUGGAUUCCCUUAGCCUAUUGCCUACAGAUGUCCCUCCAGGAAGGCGGGGCUGUUGUUAACCGCGGCCACAGCCUUUUGCUGUCUACCCAUAACAGGACCACUGAGACCUCUGCACAUUAAUAUGGAUAUAAACUUAAAAUACAAAAAGAGGCCUAAAUUGUGCCCUUAACAUAAUUCCAUGCAGUCCAGAUGUGCAUCUACUACUAUUUAUUUUAUAAUGCGUCAUUGUUAAUCAGAACGGGGACCCACUUUUGCCAACGCUUAGAGAUGCUGAGGUGUGGUUGGGAGAAGGAAAGCAGUGUAAAGGGUAAGGCCUGAGUCUGCUCCCUUCUACCUGUUAUCUUAGUCUUGUACUGAAUGAACAUAAAUUUUCGUGUCUAGCCACAUAACUGCUAAGAAUAUGUACCACACAAGAGAGUUGGAGAUGAGUUGCUUUUUCCAAUUUAUUCUAUAAAUGCAGUAAUCCUGACACUUUAUAUAACUAGUUGAAAUAGUGCGUGCAUGGAAAUAAAACACAUAUUUACUUUAUUUUAGAAUAUCAGCAAAAUGGAAUAUCUGUGUUUUGGGUUGUUUGUUGUUGAUUUCACUUUUUCUUUGCAAUUAUUCCAAGUUAUCGAAUGGUUAUAAAUAAAAAUUUUG